rnacentral:lncRNA from 1 species
GUCAUGGCAAAUUUUAUAUUCAUCAUCAUAUCCUCAAAUGUAUGUUCAUGUGUACAAUUUGUCAUGUUUUAAUACAUGACGACUCCAUUAAUCUUUACACUUUUGAACAGCUGAAUCAUGAUUAAACAGUACAGAUCGUAUUAUUCUCAGUGCAGCACAGUCUCUGCCAAGGACAUACACUGACGUACACACUUAUCAAGACAGAUAAAGACUGGAGCCAAACCUUCUCAUAACAUCUUCAUCAUCCUCCAACAUUGCCACUAUGGGCAUCUGACUCCCUCCCUUUUGUCUCUCACUGUUGGGACCUUUUCUUAUCUGUAUAAAAAGCUUAAGCUUUGAAACUGUUGGGGCGGGGCGCGGCACUUCCUUUGGACGUCCGCCUGGACGGACGCUAAUUUUGUUUCACUUUGUUCCACUUUGUAUUCUUUUAUUUAGUUUAGAAUAAAAUCAUUUUUUAUUAAAUCAUCAAUGCUUCUCCUGGAUUCUAUCAUUCAACCAGAGCAAUGAAUCAUGUCUCAAAUGAGGUCAACCGUAAAUUCUGCCGUAACAAUUGGCGAUCACGAACAGGACCAUCUUCUGUCCACCCCUCGGACAGAGACUGGAGCACGAACCAUCGGUUGAACCUCAAACACCAAUUCGGACUAAGAAUGCCACCGCCUUCUCGACUCCGAUCCUUCCUCCAGCCGCCAUGCCUGGUCACUGCUUGUUAUGAUGAAGGAUGAGAAUUAAAGGGAAGUAUUGUCCAUAACUGUAACUGGGAAACAAAGGGGAAAUAGAU